UGGCGAACGGGUGCGUAACACGUGGGAAAUCUGCCUCGGAAUGGGGAAUAAGCAUUCGAAAGGAUGUCUAAUACCGCAUAAUGCAGCGGCUCCGCAUGGAGAUGUUGUUAAAGUAGCGAUACGUUUCGAGAUGAUCCCGCGCCUGAUUAGCUUGUUGGCGGGGUAACGGCCCACCAAGGCGACGAUCAGUAGCCGAUCUGAGAGGAUGACCGGCCACACUGGGACUGAGAUACGGCCCAGACUCCUACGGGAGGCAGCAGUAAGGAAUAUUGCGCAAUGGACGAAAGUCUGACGCAGCAACGCCGCGUGAACGAUGAAGGUCUUCGGAUUGUAAAGUUCUUUAGCAGGGGACGAAUUUCCCGUUGAGGGAGUUGACGGUACCCUGAGAAUAAGCACCGGCUAACUCCGUGCCAGCAGCCGCGGUAAUACGGAGGGUGCAAGCGUUGUCCGGAUUCACUGGGUGUAAAGGGAGUGUAGGCGGAUUGGAUAGUCGAAGGUGAAAGUGAACGGCUUAACCGUGUCAAGUGCCUUCGAAACUUCCUCUCUUGAGUGUGUCAGGGGGUACUGGAAUUCCCGGUGUAGCGGUGGAAUGCGUAGAUAUCGGGAGGAACACCAGUGGCGAAGGCGGGUACCUGGGGCACAACUGACGCUGAGACUCGAAAGUGCGGGGAGCGAACAGGAUUAGAUACCCUGGUAGUCCGCACCGUAAACGAUGGACACUAGUCGUCGGAGGUCGACCCUUCGGUGACGCAGUUAACACAUUAAGUGUCCCACCUGGGGAGUACGCUCGCAAGGGUGAAACUCAAAGGAAUUGACGGGGGCCCGCACAAGCGGCGGAGCAUGUGGUUUAAUUCG
rnacentral:rRNA from 1 species